GCUGAUCACCUCCUUUCU
rnacentral:misc_RNA from 1 species